rnacentral:rRNA from 1 species
UACAGGGGGGGCAAGCGUUGUUCGGAAUUACUGGGCGUAAAGGGCUCGUAGGCGGCCAACUAAGUCAGACGUGAAAUCCCUCAGCUUAACUGGGGAACUGCGUCUGAUACUGGAUGGCUUGGAUUCGGGAGAGGAAUGCGGAAUUCCAGGUGUAGCGGUGAAAUGCGUAGAUAUCUGGAGGAACACCGGUGGCGAAGGCGGCAUUCUGGACCGACAUUGACGCUGAGGAGCGAAAGCCAGGGGAGCAAACGGG